rnacentral:antisense_RNA from 3 species
CUUCACCGACCCGAGCCACAGCGGUUCGCCGCCCGCACGCUCCUGGCCGUAGGUGGCCAGCAGCGCCUGGGCCUC